AACUAGAAAAAAGAAAACUGAACCAAGUUAAAAAACAAUGGAUGUGGACCACAGAAUCCCCUUCUGUUCUGGUGGGUACCAACUAAAGGACAGUCUAGAUUAUGUUAUUGUCCAUGGAUUGCAGCUGAGACAAAGCCAACCAACCACUCUGGACUCUAUUAUGAUUGGUGAACAAGAAUAAAAUAUUGACCCACAGACUUCAAGAUAUAUAUCAGAUACAAAUCAGGUCACCUCCUUGGGGAUAAUCUGAGAGAAAUCAGUCACUUGAAUUGAAUCAUGAAAGACAACCUGCUCUUUACAUGCUAACCCAGUGAGAAAGGUUUUUGUACAGCAAUACAAUGGAGAACUAUCACUGUGGUGGACGUUCGGCGCAGGGACCAAGCUGGAAAUCAAACG